GACGAACGCUGGCGGCGUGCUUAACACAUGCAAGUCGAACGGAAAGGCCCUGCUUUUGUGGGGUGCUCGAGUGGCGAACGGGUGAGUAACACGUGAGUAACCUGCCCUUGACUUUGGGAUAACUUCAGGAAACUGGGGCUAAUACCGGAUAGGAGCUCCUGCUGCAUGGUGGGGGUUGGAAAGUUUCGGCGGUUGGGGAUGGACUCGCGGCUUAUCAGCUUGUUGGUGGGGUAGUGGCUUACCAAGGCUUUGACGGGUAGCCGGCCUGAGAGGGUGACCGGCCACAUUGGGACUGAGAUACGGCCCAGACUCCUACGGGAGGCAGCAGUGGGGAAUAUUGCACAAUGGGCGGAAGCCUGAUGCAGCAACGCCGCGUGCGGGAUGACGGCCUUCGGGUUGUAAACCGCUUUCGCCUGUGACGAAGCGUGAGUGACGGUAAUGGGUAAAGAAGCACCGGCUAACUACGUGCCAGCAGCCGCGGUGAUACGUAGGGUGCGAGCGUUGUCCGGAUUUAUUGGGCGUAAAGGGCUCGUAGGUGGUUGAUCGCGUCGGAAGUGUAAUCUUGGGGCUUAACCCUGAGCGUGCUUUCGAUACGGGUUGACUUGAGGAAGGUAGGGGAGAAUGGAAUUCCUGGUGGAGCGGUGGAAUGCGCAGAUAUCAGGAGGAACACCAGUGGCGAAGGCGGUUCUCUGGGCCUUUCCUGACGCUGAGGAGCGAAAGCGUGGGGAGCGAACAGGCUUAGAUACCCUGGUAGUCCACGCUGUAAACGGUGGGUACUAGGUGUGGGGUCCAUUCCACGGGUUCCGUGCCGUAGCUAACGCAUUAAGUACCCCGCCUGGGGAGUACGGCCGCAAGGCUAAAACUCAAAGGAAUUGACGGGGCCCCGCACAAGCGGCGGAGCAUGCGGAUUAAUUCGAUGCAACGCGUAGAACCUUACCUGGGUUUGACAUGGAUCGGGAGCGCUCAGAGAUGGGUGUGCCUCUUUUGGGGUCGGUUCACAGGUGGUGCAUGGCUGUCGUCAGCUCGUGUCGUGAGAUGUUGGGUUAAGUCCCGCAACGAGCGCAACCCUUGUUCACUGUUGCCAGCACGUUAUGGUGGGGACUCAGUGGAGACCGCCGGGGUCAACUCGGAGGAAGGUGGGGAUGACGUCAAGUCAUCAUGCCCCUUAUGUCCAGGGCUUCACGCAUGCUACAAUGGCUGGUACAGAGAGUGGCGAGCCUGUGAGGGUGAGCGAAUCUCGGAAAGCCGGUCUCAGUUCGGAUUGGGGUCUGCAACUCGACCUCAUGAAGUCGGAGUCGCUAGUAAUCGCAGAUCAGCAACGCUGCGGUGAAUACGUUCCCGGG
rnacentral:rRNA from 1 species